rnacentral:misc_RNA from 1 species
AUGCUGAUUCUGGUCGUCGCAGCCUUGCAGAUCACCUCGGUGCUUCUUGCUUAGUCAACAGCCUUAAUACUCCAGAUGUACUAUCUGAAUACAUAUUGAAAUGCAUAUCUUCUAUUUACUGCAAACUUGCCAAUUGCCCUAAGACCCACGGGGGCUUGUCAUCUUCUCCUCCUUCAUCUUUGUCAUCCUCAAGUAUGUUUUCUUCCCACAAUCCUUCUGAUAAUUCGAGUCCACAACACAGUGAGGAUGCUAUUGUGCAUCGUCAAGGGUUGAAAGAAGACGGUGGUCC